rnacentral:rRNA from 1 species
GACGAACGCUGGCGGCGUGCUUAACACAUGCAAGUCGAACGGUAAGGCCCUUCGGGGUACACGAGUGGCGAACGGGUGAGUAACACGUGGGUGAUCUGCCCUGCACUUCGGGAUAAGCCUGGGAAACUGGGUCUAAUACCGGAUAGGACCACUGCCUGCAUGGGUGGUGGUGGAAAGCCUUUGCGGUGUGGGAUGGGCCCGCGGCCUAUCAGCUUGUUGGUGGGGUGAUGGCCUACCAAGGCGACGACGGGUAGCCGGCCUGAGAGGGUGACCGGACACACUGAGACUGAGAUACGGCCCAGACUCCUACGGGAGGCAGCAGUGGGGAAUAUUGCACAAUGGGCGCAAGCCUGAUGCAGCGACGCCGCGUGAGGGAUGACGGCCUUCGGGUUGUAAACCUCUUUCAGCACCGACGAAGCGCAAGUGACGGUAGGUGCAGAAGAAGGACCGGCCAACUACGUGCCAGCCGCCGCCGUAAUAC